UACGUAGGGUGCAAGCGUUGCCCGGAUUUAUUGGGCGUAAAGGGCGCGUAGGCGGCUCUGCACGUUCGUUGUGAAAUCGCCCGGCUCAACUGGGCGGGGUCAGCGGAUACGGCAGAGCUUGAGCAAGCUAGGGGGCAAUGGAAUUCCCGGUGUAGUGGUGGAAUGCGUAGAUAUCCGGAGGAAUACCAAAGGCGAAGGCAGUGUCCUGGCUGGCAUCUGACGCUGAGGCGCGAAAGCUAGGGGAGCGAACAGG
rnacentral:rRNA from 1 species